UUGGAGGGCAAGUCUGGUGCCAGCAGCCGCGGUAAUUCCAGCUCCAAUAGCGUAUAUUAAAGUUGUUGCAGUUAAAAAGCUCGUAGUUGAAUUUCGGGAUCAGUACGCUGGUCAUGCCUUUGGUAUGCACUGGUGUCACUGGUUUCUCCCUUCUGUAGAUCCGUGAUGUCAUUAAUUUGGUGUCGCGGGGAAUCAGGACUGUUACUAUGAAAAAAUUAGAGUGUUUAAAGCAGGCUCACGCUUGAAUACAUUAGCGUGGAAUAAUGAAAUAGGACGUUUGACCCUAUUUUGUUGGUUUCUAGGAUCGACGUAAUGAUUAAUAGGGAUAGUUGGGGGCAUUAGUAUUCAAUUGUCAGAGGUGAAAUUCUUGGAUUUAUUGAAGACUAACUACUGCGAAAGCAUUUGCCAAGGAUGUUUUCUUUAAUCAAGAACGAAAGUUAGGGGAUCGAAGACGAUCAGAUGCCGUCGUAGUCUUAACCAUAAACUAUGCCGACUAGGGAUCGGAUGAUGUUAAUUUUAUAAUGACUCAUUCGGCGCCUUACGGGAAACCAAAGUGUUUGGGUUC
rnacentral:rRNA from 1 species